rnacentral:rRNA from 1 species
UAGAUGCGAGAGUAGAGCAUAUCAAUAAGCGGAGGAAAAGAAACUAACAAGGAUUCCCUUAGUAACGGCGAGUGAAGCGGGAAGAGCUCAAAUUUGAAAUCUUCAAGGUUCUACCUUGACGAAUUGUAGUUUAUAGAAGUGUUUUCUGUUAGUAGAGUGGCAAAAGUUCUUUGGAAUAGGACAUCAUAGAGGGUGAGAAUCCCGUAUUUGGUCAUUCUUUCUAGCUUUGUGAUACACUUUCAACGAGUCGGAUUGUUUGGGAAUGCAGUCCGAAAUGGGUGGUAAAUUUCAUCUAAAGCUAAAUAUUGGCGAGAGACCGAUAGCGAACAAGUACCGUGAGGGAAAGAUGAAAAGAACUUUGAAAAGAGAGUUAAACAGUACGUGAAAUUGUCAAAAGGGAAGCGUUUGACACCAGUGUUGUUUUUCCGAAAAUCAAUUACGAAUGUUUUAUUUUUGAGAAGUUAUGACUUCAUCGGCUUGCUUCUCUCUUUAUGAAACUUUCUUAAUGCACUUUUCGGUUAACAAGUCAACAUCAAUUUCUUUUGUUGUAAAAGGGUAUGAGGAAGGUGGCUUUCUUUUCGGAGAAAGUGUUUAUAGCCUUGUACCUCUGCAAUCGGAGAGAUUGAGGUCUGCAGCGUAGAUCCUUCGGGGUUAGAUACAUUUGUGCUAAGUUAUAGCUUUUCAUAGACAACUUGUUGACUAUGUUAAGUCUUGUAGCUUACUCGCUUAUGCUAUUUUACCUACGCUUAGGAUGUUGACACACGCGCGGUGCUCG